GAAGAGCCUUUGCUUCAAUCCAAGACGGGUAGAGGGAAAUUGUCGGCGGCGAGGGUAGCGCAAGCAGUGCUUUUCGGGGUGAACUCGGCGAUCGGGUACUUGUUGAUGCUUGCAGUGAUGUCGUUUAACGGAGGGGUGUUUGUGGCGAUCGUAAUGGGGCUGGGUAUUGGGUAUUUGUUGUUUAGUGAAGAUGAGAAUUUCGCGCUUGUGGAUAGCCCCUGUGCCUGUGCUUAGACACAGACAGAGACAAGAAAAAUAAACAAAGUAUGUAUUUCUGUGUUUUUUUCCUUUUUGGGUUUUGGUUGUACGUUUCUUUUACCUGUAAAAAUCUCAUCUUUGUCUCAUGUAAUUUGGGAACUGAACCAAAGAUACCAUUGGGUUCUUCUAUUACCUGUAAAAAUCUGAUCUUUGUCUUGUGUAAUUU
rnacentral:misc_RNA from 1 species